ACGAACGCUGGCGGCGUGCUUAACACAUGCAAGUCGAACGGAGGUUAUUUUGAAACUUAGUGAUAAAUGACCUUAGUGGCGGACGGGUGAGUAACGCGUGGAUAACCUGCCUGACUGACCGGGACAACACCGGGAAACUGGUGCUAAUACCGGAUACGCUCUUGGGGGCACAUGCUUUUGAGAGGGAAGGAGAAAUCCGCAGACAGAUGGGUCCGCGUCCCAUUAGCUAGUUGGGGGUGUAAGAGACCACCAAGGCGACGAUGGGUAGCCGGCCUGAGAGGGUGGACGGCCACACUGGAACUGAGACACGGUCCAGACUCCUACGGGAGGCAGCAGUGGGGAAUCUUCCGCAAUGGGCGAAAGCCUGACGGAGCAACGCCGCGUGAGUGAAGAAGGCCUUCGGGUCGUAAAACUCUGUCUUCAGGGAAGAAAAAAAUGACGGUACCUGAGGAGGAAGCCCCGGCUAACUACGUGCCAGCAGCCGCGGUAAAACGUAGGGGGCGAGCGUUGUCCGGAAUUACUGGGCGUAAAGGGCGCGUAGGCGGUUAUUUAAGUCAGAGGUGAAAACUACCGGCUCAACCGGUAGCCUGCCUUUGAAACUGGGUAACUUGAGGGCAGGAGAGGGGAGUGGAAUUCCCAGUGUAGCGGUGAAAUGCGUAGAUAUUGGGAGGAACACCAGUGGCGAAGGCGGCUCUCUGGCCUGUUUCUGACGCUGAGGCGCGAAAGCGUGGGGAGCGAACGGGAUUAGAUACCCCGGUAGUCCACGCCGUAAACGAUGGGUGCUAGGUGUAGGAGGUAUCGACCCCUUCUGUGCCGUAGUUAACACAAUAAGCACCCCGCCUGGGGAGUACGGCCGCAAGGUUG
rnacentral:rRNA from 1 species